UCUCAAUUUAAUUACUUAACCUCCAUCAAACUGAUCUUAAACACCAUCAUGUGACAAUAUCAAUUUAAUAUCUUAAAUCUAACAUAUAGUAAAAGUGAAUUGAAAAGUUUCUCACUUUUCUUAGUCUUUACCUUAACAUCUCUUUAUAUUCCCAUUAAUUCCAUCAUCUUCGCAUUUCUCUUACUUCGAAAACAUUUUCCCAUUACCAUAAUAAUUAAUUGCUCAUCUUGAUCAUCUGGUUCUUCUUCCAUUUUCGAUUUUUGUUGCUCAAACUGUUGUUAUUGACGCACAGAGGUUAGGCAUAAAAUUUACAAUAAACUGAAGGGAAGAAACUUGAGUAUGUUGGUGGUGAAAUAGAUGUGUGUGGUAACGUAAACUAAGCACACUAAAUUUGAUGGAACUUUUAGGGUCUUCCGAUUUUGGGAUGUUACUCAUUUAAAGUUUAUUGAAUUAGUAUUUGAGGGAGAAAACGAAAAAAAUAUAUGAUUCUUGAGAGAAUGAAU
rnacentral:lncRNA from 1 species